GGGCCCGCACAAGCGGUGGAGUAUGUGGUUUAAUUCGAUGCAACGCGAAGAACCUUACCAGGGUUUGACAUCCUGCGAAUCUCUUGGAAACAGGAGAGUGCCUUCGGGAACGCAGUGACAGGUGGUGCAUGGCUGUCGUCAGCUCGUGUCGUGAGAUGUUGGGUUAAGUCCCGCAACGAGCGCAACCCACGUCUUUAGUUGCCAGCAUUUAGUUGGGCACUCUAGAGAGACUGCCGGUGAUAAACCGGAGAAGGUGUGGAUGACGUCAAGUCAUCAUGCCCCUUACAUCUGGGCUACACACGUCCUACAAUGCACUAUACAAAGCGACGCAAAAUCGUGAGAUCGAGCAAACGCAUAAAGUAGUGCCCCAG
rnacentral:rRNA from 1 species